UACGUAGGGUGCAAGCGUUAAUCGGAAUUACUGGGCGUAAAGCGUGCGCAGGCGGUUUUGUAAGUCAGAUGUGAAAUCCCCGGGCUUAACCUGGGACUGCGUUUGAAACUACAAGGCUAGAGUGUGGCAGAGGGGGGGUGGAAUUCCACGUGUAGCAGUGAAAUGCGUAGAGAUGUGGAGGAACACCGAUGGCGAAGGCAGCCCCCUGGGUUAACACUGACGCUCAGGCACGAAAGCGUGGGGAGCAAACAGG
rnacentral:rRNA from 1 species